GCAGUGUAGUACAGUACAGUACAGUAUAGUAUAGUGUAGUCGUACUGUAUUGGUAAACUAAUGUGGAGGUAAUGAUUUAUGUAAACAGUUGGGGACAGUUUAAGUACAUGUGAUCUAGUUGCAAGUUUAAUUUUCAUUGUACGUAAAUUACAACUUUAAACACGUUGCAGGUAACAGCUGAUGUACGUGAAGGCCAAUGGAGAAGUGACAGAACCUCGAGCAAGAUUUAACUACCAGCAUGUUACUUCAGCCUCAUCAGUGACAGCUGAUGUAUGUGAAGCCCAAUGGAGAAGUGACAGAACCUUGAGCAACAUUUAACACCCAGCAUGUUACUUCAGCCUCAUCAGUUAAGUUACUUAUAUAUAUCUUGGCUAUUAUGGUCAUCCCAUAAACUACUCAACACCGUGCUUCUACACUCGGCAGUGGAGGGUGUGUGGGGGGCCUGGCUGACUGUGUGAUGGAGGGUUCUGGAGGACUGUGUGAUGGAGGGUUCUGGAGGACUGUGUGUGAAGGAGGGCUCUGGAGGACUGUGAUGGAGGGCUCUGGAGGACUGUGUGUGAAGGAGGGCUCGUGAGUACUGAGUGGACAGAUUGGUCUUCGAGUAAAAUUAAUAUUAGUUGUAGUGACAGUAUAAAUAUACAGGACUACAUGCCUAUUGGUUAUUAGAGAAAAUUAGUAGUAGUAGUGGUAGUAGUAGUAAAUACAGCAAGUAAAGCAAGUUGUUGUGGGUGGGUUUCAACUAACUUUACUAACCUAACUUAACCAGCCUAAGUUAAUUAAACGUAAUAACGUAGACUGAACCAAAUCCGUAAUAAGGUCACCGCGACCCGUAGCUGGGGACGUCAAAGGCUCGGUCGGAUUGGUACACCGUCAAUGACUCAGCUCAUCUUGGAGGGAGGGGGGGGGGGUGGCGAGCUACCUCCCGUGUCCUGGCUGAACUGCGAGAGGGGCAACCACUGGUGUCCUGCCUCCCUGCGAGAUGGUCGUUGAUCUACCCGACCCGUCUUGGGACAACAACCACGGAGUCUAGCAUGUGUAGGAGUCGAUGGGGUCACUGAGCCCGAAGGCGAGAUGAAGGUAACGGGCGCCUGGUGCGUCUUGGGCAGAUCCUCAACUGGCUGCCUCUGGCCGUGCACGUGUGGCGUUUGCGUGGUUGAGACCCUUUCCCCCCACUGGGAAAAGGGCCUUCCCCCGCGCAUUACCACGUGAGUGCACAUGUCGCCGCGCUUCUCUGGGCGCACACGUCGCCACCUCAGCUUGUUUGCAGCUGGGUGGGUGGAGCGGCCCAAAAAGCUCCCAUCUCGCCUCCCCAUUUUCCCUUCCUUCAUAUCUUUGAGUUAUAUAUAAAAAUAAGUGUGUUUAUGUCUACUUAAAUAAAUUAUAUACAAUAUGC